CUUCUCUGGGGCCACCUGAAGGCUUUCAAACACAGUAAUGAGCCCUCCUCGGGCUGGGAAACAGGAAGCUGUGUUUUAAAUGCCGUGAUCACUGGAUUAAAGGAAACAUGGCUCCACUCUGUUCUCUUGCCAGGUGGAAUUAUUUUUUUCUUUAUGAUGGUUCCAAGGUAAAGGAAGAAGGCGAUCCAACAAGAGCUGGCAUUUGUUACUUUUAUCCUUCCCAGACCCUGCUUGACCAACAGGAGUUGCUUUGUGGACAGAUUGCUGGAGUUGUCCGCUGUGUUUCUGACAUUUCUGACUCUCCUCCUACUCUUGUUCGUCUGAGAAAACUGAAGUUUGCCGUAAAAGUUGAUGGAGAUUACCUUUGGGUGCUGGGCUGUGCUGUGGAGCUCCCUGAUGUCAGCUGCAAGCGGUUUCUGGAUCAGCUAAUUGGAUUCUUUAAUUUUUACAAUGGACCUGUUUCCCUAGCUUAUGGGAAUUGUUCUCAGGAAGAACUGAGCACGGAGUGGGACACCUUCAUCGAACAAAUUCUGAAAAACACCAGUGAUCUGCAUAAGAUUUUCAAUUCCCUCUGGAACUUGGACCAAACUAAAGUGGAGCCCCUGUUGUUGCUGAAGGCAGCCCGCAUUCUGCAGACCUGCCAGCGCUCGCCUCACAUUCUUGCUGGCUGCAUCCUCUAUAAAGGACUGAUUGUCAGCACCCAGCUCCCGCCCUCCCUCACCGCCAAGGUCCUGCUUCACCGAACAGCACCUCAGGAGCAGAGACUCCCUACGGGAGGGGAUGCCCCGCAGGAACAUGGUAAGUGGUGAGGCGCAUGGUUGCCUCUUGAGAACGGCGGUCUUUUAUGUUACCUAUCCCUGUACAAGUUAUGUGAAGGGCCAAGCCAUCUGCAUGUUUAUUUCCUCUGCUCAUAAUAGGAAAAUGGAUGUUAUGGAGCUUCAAGAAUCAAGUUACCCACCAGAACCCUAAUGGUAAAGCUAUGAUUUUAGGCAUGCUGUCAAAUCCCUGCUUUCAGACCCUCCUUAACUUCAUAUUGUGAGACUGCUCGGUCAAGUGCCAGGAGAUUGUGAUUGGGAGAGGGUAAGACAAACAGCGACUGCCAGAAAGACCUUUUGCAGGAUGUGGAGGCGUCCUCAGGAGAGUUAUUUCGAUUUAUUCUGAAGCCUGAGUUGGAGCAGAUCCCUUUCUUAGCUUAUAUCUUCUUCUUGUAAAAGUGCUUUUCAACCUUUCUCUCCCGAACAUCUUCCUUCUCCAAAGCUGGGAGUCAUGUUGCCUGCAGGGACUCUUUCCUUACUGGGUCCAGGAGUUCGAGGUGCAGUUUGCCAACCUGUGUCCUGGCUGAGGAAUGCACUCACAACACCCCUUUCCGAGCCCGCGUGUGGGUUGGAUGCAUCACGCCAGUGCAGCUAUUGCCCCUCUGCCCUCUCUGGCGCGGGGGAAAGCCCUGUUCAUAUUGCUUUGCAAUUCCAGGAGCGGCAUUGCCCCCGAAUGUCCAGAUUAUCCCUGUUUUUGUGACCAAAGAGGAAUCCAUUAGUCUCCACGAGUUCCCGGUGGAACAGAUGACAAGGUCUCUAGCAUCUCCAGCAGGACUCCAGGAUGGUUCAGCCCAGCACCAUCCAAAGGGUGGGCGCACAUCUGCCCUGAAAGAAAAUGCCACUGGCCAUGUGGAAUCCAUGGCCUGGACCACCCCAGAGCCCACAUCCCCUGACGAAGCUUGUCCAGAUGGCAGGAAGGAGAACAGAUGCUUGUCUGGCCAUGAUCUGGAGAGCAUCAGGCCCGCAGGACUGCACAACACUGCCAGGGGUGAGGUUCUUGGCCUCAGCUGCUCCCUGGGGAAGGAACUAGUCUUUCUCCAAGAAGAACUCGACUUGUCUGAAAUCCACAUUCCAGAGGCUCAGGAAGUGGAAACGGCCUCAGGUCAUUUUGCCUUCCUACAUGUGCCUGUUCCAGAUGGCAGGGCUCCUUACUGCAAGGCAUCUCUCAGCGCCUCCAGCAGCCUGGAACCCACGUCUCCUGAGGACACAGCCGUCAGCAGCCUGCGCCCUCCCUCUGCUCCUGAGAUGCUCACCCAGCAUGGAGCCCAAGAGCAGCUCGAAGACCAUCCUGGCCAUAGCAGCCAAGCCCCCAUUCCCAGAGCAGACCCUCUCCCCAGAAGGACCCGCAGGCCCUUGUUAUUGCCUCGCUUAGAUCCAGGGCAGAGAGGAAACAGGCUUCCCACGGGGGAACAAGGCCUGGAUCAGGAUGUUGAUGGGGUCUGUGAAAGCCACGCAGCCCCUGGUCUGGAACGCAGUUCAGGCUCAGCAAACUGUCAGGGUGCUGGCCCCUCUGCAGAUGGAAUCAGCUCCAGGCUGACACCAGCAGGGUCCUGCAUGGGGCUCAUGAGGAUGAAUCUCUACACUCACUGCAUCAAAGGGCUGGUGCUGUCCCUGCUAGCUGAGGAGCCACUGCUGGGAGACAGCGCAGCCAUAGAGGAAGUGAAAUGCCUCCACGGCCGUGUACGCCUGUUGCAACCCCAUCCAGGAGACAUAUUUCCAGCAGCUGGCACCUGCAGCACGGAGCUCCGGCUUCCCAAACCCUCAGGAUGGCGCCUUCAGCCUCUCCGGCAAAGCCAAGCAGAAGCUGCUGAAGCACGGGGUGAACUUGCUCUGAACUGCACCCAGGAGGUGACUGGGAAGGAGAAAACCAGUAAAGGAAGCUCUGCCUUUUAUAACUGAAAAGGCCCCUCUAUUUUAUUUUUCUUGAAAACAUUCCCUUUUUUAGGAACAUAAUG
rnacentral:sRNA from 1 species